CUGAAGUGGCCGGACACGAUGGGAAGGGAUCCGGGCUGGCCUGUCCGUCCCACGGGCUGAAUGCACGCACAGCACCUUCCUUUGUGCCGUGCUCUGGGAGGCCAAGGUGGAAAAGGCUCUAAUGGAAUUCCUGCAGGGACAGUUUUCCCUGGCUCAGUGGGAGCUGUUUGCACACAGACGCCACGGAGGAAGCCGCUAGGUGUUUAUUAACCCGGCUGGCGAGAGGAGGGGAAGGGCAGCGGGAAAGCGCUGAGGGGAAAAUGCCGGUUCCAAAGACAGACCACCACCCCCUGCCGUCCGCCCGGGCUGAGGGAGCCGCGGCUCAGCCAGGUCCUUGUAACCUGUCUGGAGAAACUACUGAUAAGAGUGGCUAGAUUACAGAAACUAUGCCAGAGAACUGUGACAGAGUUUGAAUAAGGGAGCACUGUUUCUUGGAAACUGCUGGAAACACUCAAGUCCCCUUCCUUUGCGCUGAAAUGCAGCAGAAAGACCAAGAGCCCUCUCACUGGAGUGGCAGGAGCUGCUGGUUAAAACUGAGAGUGGAGCCCAGCCACCAGUCCCUCAUCGUGACUUCGACAGAUAAUUAGUCAGCAGGAAAAGCUGUUUCAGACAGAGCAGAUCUCACAGAAGAGUGGAUUCACUGAGGAAGAUCUUCUUGCUAUAGAAUGUUCAGACAUUUCACUGGAAAGCAGAAAUGCCUCUGACAAAAGGAUAGAUGCUCUGCCAUGUGUUAAUCCAAUGCUACGCAUAAGGAAUUCUGAUGGAAAGCCCUGGAAGUGACACCCCAAUGUGUCUGGCAUUGCCCUGUUGCUUUGUCUUUACAAAGAGUAAAGUUCUCUAAAGUCUCCAUGUGUCACCAGCCUAAUGAGAACCCAAACCAGCACAUGGUGGAGGAUGGGUACAUGAGGCACCCAGAAUUACA